CGUGCAGGUGGUCGGGUAAGUCAGAUGUGAAAGCCUUCUGCUUAACAGAAGAAGUGCAUUUGAAACUGCUCGGCUAGAGUACGGGAGAGGAGAGUGGAAUUCCCGGUGUAGAGGUGAAAUUCGUAGAUAUCGGGAGGAACACCAGUGGCGAAGGCGGCUCUCUGGUCCGAUACUGACGCUGAGACGCGAAAGCGUGGGGAGCAAACAGGAUUAGAUACCCUGGUAGUCCACGCCGUAAACGAUGGGCACUAGGUGUAGGAGGUAUUGACCCCUUCUGUGCCGAAGCUAACGCAUUAAGUGCCCCGCCUGGGGAGUACGGCCGCAAGGCUAAA
rnacentral:rRNA from 1 species